rnacentral:rRNA from 1 species
ACAAGCGUGGAGCACGUGGUUUAAUUCGAUGCAAACCGAAGAACCGUUACCUGGGUUUGACAUGCAGGUGGUAGAGAGAAGAGAUUUAAUCGACUCUGCAGUAAUGCAGAGAGCCUGCACAGGUGCUGCAUGGCUGUCGUCAGCUCGUGUCGUGAGACUGUUGGGUUAAGUCCCGUAACGAGCGCAACCCUUGUCCUUAGUUACCAGCACGUUAUGGUGGGCACUCUAAGGAGACUGCCGGUGACAAACCGGAGGAAGGUGGGGAUGACGUCAAGUCAUCAUGGCCCUUACGGCCUGGGCUACACACGUGCUACAAUGGUCGGUACAAAGGGUUGCCAAGCCGCGAGGUGGAGCUAAUCCCAUAAAACCGAUCGUAGUCCGGAUCGCAGUCUGCAACUCGACUGCGUGAAGUCGGAAUCGCUAGUAAUCGUGAAUCAGAAUGUCACGGUGAAUACGUUCCCGGGCCUU